CACAACUUCUGCAGAAGGCGGGGGUAGGAGGGGCAGACACCAGGGUGGGAGCCCUGGGCCUUGUGGGCCUGGACCCACCCUGGCCUGGAGACACAGCGGAGCCAGAUGAAAUGCAGGACACCAGGGCCCCCAUAUUUUUACUUGCUGGAUCUGGCAACCUGCUUAGGGGGAUGGCAGUGCCACUGCUGGGUGCCAGGCGGGCAGCUGCGAGGCCAGCGGGAUCUGAGGGCGUGCCGCCGUGGGAAUGGCAGGCCGAGGGGAACAUCCACCUCCUUCACUGACCCACCCGCUCUAUUCCGCCCGGGGUCAUUCACGGUCCCCAAGUCCGCCUCUCGGCCCGAACCAUCUCCUCCCCACCGCCGCUCUGGCUUCGCC
rnacentral:lncRNA from 1 species